UACGUAGGGGGCAAGCGUUAUCCGGAAUUACUGGGUGUAGAGGGAGCGUAGACGGUAAUGUAAGCCUGGAGUGAAAGGCGGGGGCCCAACCCCCGGACUGCUCUGGAAACUAUGUUACUAGAGUGCAGGAGAGGUAAGCGGAAUUCCUAGUGUAGCGGUGAAAUGCGUAGAUAUUAGGAGGAACACCAGUGGCGAAGGCGGCUUACUGGACUGUAACUGACGUUGAGGCUCGAAAGCGUGGGGAGCAAACAGG
rnacentral:rRNA from 1 species